GGUCCCGUAGCUCAGUUGGUUAGAGCGUCGUACUAAUAAUAUCCUGAAUGGGAAUUAUCAUGUAAUGCGAAGGUCGCGGGUUCGACCCCCUCCGGGACCA